AUUGAACGCUGGCGGCAUGCCUUACACAUGCAAGUCGAACGGUAACAGGCCGCAAGGUGCUGACGAGUGGCGAACGGGUGAGUAAUGCAUCGGAACGUGCCCAGUCGUGGGGGAUAACUGCUCGAAAGAGCAGCUAAUACCGCAUACGACCUGAGGGUGAAAGCGGGGGACCGUAAGGCCUCGCGCGAUUGGAGCGGCCGAUAUCAGAUUAGGUAGUUGGUGGGGUAAAGGCCUACCAAGCCUACGAUCUGUAGCUGGUCUGAGAGGACGACCAGCCAAACUGGGACUGAGACACGGCCCAGACUCAUACGGGAGGCAGCAGUGGGGAAUUUUGGACAAUGGACGCAAGGCUGAUCCAGCCAUGCCGCGUGCGGGAAGAAGGCCUUCGGGUUGUAAACCGCUUUUGUCAGGGAAGAAAAGGUUCUGGUUAAUACCUGGGGCUCAUGACGGUACCUGAAGAAUAAGCACCGGCUAACUACGUGCCAGCAGCCGCAGUAAUAC
rnacentral:rRNA from 1 species